GCGGCAGGCUUAACACAUGCAAGUCGAGCGGAGAUGAGGUGCUUGCACCUUAUCUUAGCGGCGGACGGGUGAGUAAUGCUUAGGAAUCUGCCUAUUAGUGGGGGACAACAUUCCGAAAGGAAUGCUAAUACCGCAUACGUCCUACGGGAGAAAGCAGGGGAUCUUCGGACCUUGCGCUAAUAGAUGAGCCUAAGUCGGAUUAGCUAGUUGGUGGGGUAAAGGCCUACCAAGGCGACGAUCUGUAGCGGGUCUGAGAGGAUGAUCCGCCACACUGGGACUGAGACACGGCCCAGACUCCUACGGGAGGCAGCAGUGGGGAAUAUUGGACAAUGGGGGGAACCCUGAUCCAGCCAUGCCGCGUGUGUGAAGAAGGCCUUAUGGUUGUAAAGCACUUUAAGCGAGGAGGAGGCUACUGAGACUAAUACUCUUGGAUAGUGGACGUUACUCGCAGAAUAAGCACCGGCUAACUCUGUGCCAGCAGCCGCGGUAAUACAGAGGGUGCGAGCGUUAAUCGGAUUUACUGGGCGUAAAGCGUGCGUAGGCGGCUUUUUAAGUCGGAUGUGAAAUCCCCGAGCUUAACUUGGGAAUUGCAUUCGAUACUGGGAAGCUAGAGUAUGGGAGAGGAUGGUAGAAUUCCAGGUGUAGCGGUGAAAUGCGUAGAGAUCUGGAGGAAUACCGAUGGCGAAGGCAGCCAUCUGGCCUAAUACUGACGCUGAGGUACGAAAGCAUGGGGAGCAAACAGGAUUAGAUACCCUGGUAGUCCAUGCCGUAAACGAUGUCUACUAGCCGUUGGGGCCUUUGAGGCUUUAGUGGCGCAGCUAACGCGAUAAGUAGACCGCCUGGGGAGUACGGUCGCAAGACUAAAACUCAAAUGAAUUGACGGGGGCCCGCACAAGCGGUGGAGCAUGUGGUUUAAUUCGAUGCAACGCGAAGAACCUUACCUGGCCUUGACAUACUAGAAACUUUCCAGAGAUGGAUUGGUGCCUUCGGGAAUCUAGAUACAGGUGCUGCAUGCCUGUCGUCAGCUCGUGUCGUGAGAUGUUGGGUUAAGUCCCGCAACGAGCGCAACCCUUUUCCUUACUUGCCAGCAUUUCGGAUGGGAACUUUAAGGAUACUGCCAGUGACAAACUGGAGGAAGGCGGGGACGACGUCAAGUCAUCAUGGCCCUUACGGCCAGGGCUACACACGUGCUACAAUGGUCGGUACAAAGGGUUGCUACACAGCGA
rnacentral:rRNA from 1 species